UGCCCUCAAACUACCGAGAAAAGUGCAAGUGCUCAAAACGACCAGUCGGGUCGUUACAACAAUCAUCUCGGGCAUACAAUCAAAUCUUGAAACUAACAUUUAUAGAUUUAUAUUUCAUAUUUUUUUUCAAGAUACAUUCACCAAAGCUUUGAUACCUUAUGAGUUUCAGGAAGCUAUCAGCCUUUCAAAGCCAUCUGAAUAUUUUGUAGGCCUCCUUCGAUGCUCUUUAAAUACAAUGGAUUCAACCUUCAAGUUAUAGCAUAUUGAGAUGAAUUAAUCUAGAAUUUAGUACAUUGAAUAAUAUUUCGAAUUGGGUACAUCCCUGUAGUCAUCGAAUAAAUUGUAAGACAAACAAAUGUCAAGCAUAAAUUAUAAAGAAUUAUCUUUUAUCUAUUCAGGUCUGCAGUUAAUUCAUCAUUUUUUCCGUGAUAAACACCAUUCCUUGUAUCACUCUGGUUGAUAAGAGCUUACUUCUCUGCAAUUCAAUAAUUUUGUCCAACAAAAGCUAUUAUAUCCCCUUUUAGAAUACUAACAAAAUACAUACGAAUAUAAACAAUACAAUAACAGUAACAAUGUGACUCCGGUUUAUCUCUAUUUACAACAAAGUUCAUGACAUGGGAAACAUUUUGUGUUGUCCAACUGUAUGUGAGGACUCUCAAGUCGGUUAUGACAGCUGAAUCUACCCAAUAUCAACUAUUUGGAAACUAUAUGCUAAGAACUUUCAUCCAAUGCAAAGGUGAAGUUCCAGAAAGAGACAAAUGACUGAGAUUAGCACUUAGCAGUAGCUGAACGGUUAAAAUGCAUAUGCAUUUAUAAAAAUAUUCCAAAUACCAACACACAAAAUGUCACAGACCUUUUCUAAAUACAUCCACUGAACUAUUAUGAUUUUUAGAACAGAUGAUCAUCACUAAUGUAGAACAUAUACUAUAAUCUGCCUUUCACCAUCACCCAUGAAAGCACACGUAUAAUAAGAAAGGAUUGGUGAGACCUUAACUUUUGCCAAUACAAUUAUAACAUCUACUCCUAUUAUAUCUCCUAAGAGGACUAAAGAACAUUAAAAAAGAAAGCUCACCGCAUCAACGGAGAUAGAUCAUACAAUCUCCUUUGAGAAAGGUUUACAUCUGUAUACCAGCAAAAGAAUUAAUCCUAGAUGGGCCAUCCUUUGCAUCUGUAUACCAGCAAAAGAAUUAUUCCUAAAUAUACAAAAUCAAUGCAAAAGAAAUGUGAAUAUAUAUACAUGGCCUACAAACAAUUAGGAAUUUGAGCGACAUCCACAUAACCUCAUAAAUCGCACUUAAAUGUAAUAAAUCAUUUUAUAUAUUAGCAAAGUUCACAAACUGCUGGUGCAUCAUUGAUUAUUUCACAAAGAAAAAUGUCUUUUUUCCUAUUAAUAUGGAUGCAUUCCAACAGCUAAUACUUAUGGAAUUUUAUUGUUCAGUCAGGUGAGUGUAAUAGAAUAGUGGAAAUAUCCAUAACUUCGCAUAUACAUUUCGAAAAUGCAGUGACAUCUAAAAGAAUAACUUAGUGGGUGUUUCCGUCCCCUAAGAUUAGGGGAACUGGUUGCUGAUAAUAGAGUAUACAUAUUUGUUUAACAACUGAACUUAUUCCUUCUAACCCCUUAACAUUAACUACCUAAUCAAUUUUCGAAAAUAUAUCCCUCUUUUGAAUUAUAAAUUUUAGUCACCUACCAUAGAUUGUCUUCUAUAUCUCUAACAAAUUAUACAAAGAAAUGUGGGCACUUAAAAGAAAAAAUACCAAAAUUGCAGCCUUUCCCUGCUCCCAAAUGAAGAAGACCUUAUCGUUUGAUUAUCUCUGUUUGUCGGAGAAGUGAACGCAGGAAAUUAUGUACUUUGAACUCACUAUAAUAAGCCCUCCAAAAUGAAAUUCGAGUUAGAAAGAAUUACACAAAUUAAAAUAAAUUCAAUAACAUACAUUAGGAAAAAAUGGUAUAGCGAAUUCGGACUUACCACAUGUCACAAAGGCUAAGCCAAUAACUCAAUUUCUUUAGCCAAGCAGCGAUAGAUUGCUUGUUGUCUCUUCAAGCCCAUCUCUAUUCAUGACAAACAUAUCAUCCUUUACAUGAGAAUUCCGACCACACUAUUUUUAAUCCACAUAUCUCAGUAAUCUCAAGAUCCGUUAAUUGACCAAACGGGGAAAAAUAUAUCAAUACACCCCCAAGGCGAAGAGACAACUAAAAUAGGAGAAAAUAAUAACAAUAUUUUGCCAGAAAAAAAAAACGUGCUUCACAUCACUUGUCUAAAAACUCGCAUAUAUGCAUGCUGAAGGAUGAAGAGCAAUAAGCUUUAAAAUGGUAAUAAAAACAAAAGAAAAAUUAUCCAAACCCACUGUAAUAUCAAUGGUAUCAACCAACUCGUAACAAAGAGUAUAAAUCAUUUUUGUAGAACUUGAGUUCGAUAAAUCCAGCUUGAGGGUGGGGGUUCAGAGCAUGAGUGUAGGAUUUAAAAAUACAAUUGGGGGUUAUUUGAUAUGGAGUUCUUGGGGUGAAAUUUGGGGUUUGCUUUGGGGAGGAAUGGCAGAAUAGGGAGCGUUGGAGGGAAAGAGAAAGAUGAUAAUAGAGAGAGAGAGAGA
rnacentral:lncRNA from 1 species